CUACGGGGGGCACCAGUGAGGAAUAUUGCACAAUGGGGGGAACCCUGAUGCAGCAACGCCGCGUGGAGGAUGACGCAUUUCGGUGUGUAAACUCCUUUUAUAUGUCAAGAAAAUGACGGUAGCAUAUGAAUAAGCACCGGCUAACUCCGUGCCAGCAGCCGCGGUAAUACGGAGGGUGCAAGCGUUACUCGGAAUCACUGGGCGUAAAGGACGCGUAGGCGGGUUGGAAAGUCAGGUGUGAAAUCCUACAGCUUAACUGUAGAACUGCACUUGAAACUUCUAAUAUAGAGUAUGGGAGGGGGAGAUGGAAUUAGUGGUGUAGGGGUAAAAUCCGUAGAUAUCACUAGGAAUACCUAAAGCGAAGGCGAUCUCCUGGAACACUACUGACGCUAAGGCGUGAAAGCGUGGGGAGCAAACAGGAUUAGAUACCCUCGUAGUC
rnacentral:rRNA from 1 species